rnacentral:rRNA from 1 species
AUUGAACGCUGGCGGCAUGCUUUACACGUGCAAGUCGAACGGUAACAGGCCUUCGGGCGCUGACGAGUGGCGAACGGGUGAGUAAUGCAUCGGAACGUGCCCAGUCGUGGGGGAUAACGCAGCGAAAGCUGUGCUAAUACCGCAUACGAUCUGCGGAUGAAAGCGGGGGACCUUCGGGCCUCGCGCGAUUGGAGCGGCCGAUGUCAGAUUAGGUAGUUGGUGGGGUAAAGGCUCACCAAGCCAACGAUCUGUAGCUGGUCUGAGAGGACGACCAGCCACACUGGGACUGGGACACGGCCCAGACUCCUACGGGAGGCAGCAGUGGGGAAUUUUGGACAAUGGGCGCAAGCCUGAUCCAGCAAUGCCGCGUGCAGGAAGAAGGCCUUCGGGUUGUAAACUGCUUUUGUACGGAGCGAAAAGGCUCCCUCUAAUACAGGGGGCUCAUGACGGUACCGUAAGAAUAAGCACCGGCUAACUACGUGCCAGCAGCCGCCGUAACAC